CUGAAGCACCGAGCAUCUGGAUGGGCAGACCAAUCUGCAGCAGCUGCGUGAUGAUGUCAUGAUUACGUCAUAUCAACAUGGCCCAGAAUCAGAGGAAUGUUUGCAGCUCCACGUUGAGUCAGAGCAGCUCUGAAGGUAAACGAGGUCCAACCAGGCAACAGCAAGGUGGCGUUAAUAAAGCGUCCCUUUCCAGGCACCGUCAUGCUGCGUGAUUUCUGCCAUCCUUGAAGUUUAUUACAGCCAUGUGGAGCUCCUUAAACUGGACUUAGCUCCCGCUAUGUGUUUAUAUGUAAGUAAUCCUCGGGUACACUGAUCCUCCAGGUUCAGCCUGAAUGAGCUCCAUGGAUCGGGCCUGAGAAACACAGGUUUUUGUGCUUUAUUGUCCCGGUUUGGUUCACUCGUGUACGUCACCUGAGAACUAAUGAUGUCACAGGGUCAAAAGUAUUUGGACAGUCGAAUAACAACGCAGUCUCAUUGCAGAUGUUGAUGCAAGCGAAGAAGGCCAUCAUCAUCAUCAUCAGGCUGAAAGACUAAAAUAAAUGCACGGGCUAAUUCUGCAACAGCAGAAGUCCUGAAAGACCAACACGAGUGAAGUGAUGAUCACAGAAUUGUUUCCAUGGUGAAGAAAAACAACGUCUAACCAGGAGAAGAAGAGGAGGGAGGAGUGUCACUGUCAGAGUCUGAGAUCAGGACAGGCCUUCAUGGAUGGAAACAGAGUUUACAACCAGGUGCAAACAGCUGGUUACGCUGAAGAACAGGAUGAUCAGAUUAAAGUGAAAACACCUAAAGAGCCUGCACAGUUCUUCUUUGUCAGUCACAUUUUUAUUUGCGUUUUCAGAACAAAACCAGAGACAAACAUGAGAAACAGUAAACAUAAGCUUCCAGUGAACUAUUCACAGCACCUAUCAAAGUUCCUGUAUGAAUCAUGACAUGACACACACUGGCAUGUCCCCUCCUACUUAAAACUAAGUACACCUCACUUACUGACAUUAAAUGGAGCAACAAUGAUCAUAGCUGCUGAAAUCAGACCUGUUAGGACGAGAGCGAAUGCAGGAUUGGACACUUCAGUCGUGGCAAAGCUGGACCGGCUCACACAUCAGUGCACUGAGUCACUCCUGCAGAGAUCUUCAGGGCAGGCCUCCACUGCAUGGAUGAAGGCAUCUUCAUGCCUGUAACAGUCCAGCAAAAAUCAUCUGCCAGUAAAUUCAUCUCAUGAACGUGGACGAGUGAGCCAGUUAUUAAACUUCAAAUCUCUUUGCAGAUUAGAUCUUCACAAUUUCGAUACAGCCCGUUGGCAGCCAUCUUCUAAAAGCCCGAAAGCUGAACGAGACCUUAAAUUAACUUCGUCUCAGAUCUUUGACUUCACUUCUCAUCUGUAAAAAUCUCUGGAAAGCUGCUUUAUCUUUGAGACUGGACUGUGUGCUGAGGUCCUGAUAGGAACUGAGUGAGUCAUCAGCAGUGAGAUCAUCCAGACUUCAAAUACCCACCACGAGUCAAAAAAGAGAGAGAGCUUGUUUUCCUUAUUUAACCGCGCAGAUGUUUCAGUUGAAGAAUAUACCUGUUACCUGUUACCUUCAGCGGUUUGUGAAGUUCCUGCUCACAUUUGCCAGUGUUUGGCCUUUUGCUCAGAGGAGAUGCUGGGCAGCUUCUUGCUGUAAAGAGCUUUUCUAAACUCAUUCUCAGCUUCCUCCAUUUCUCUGACCUUUGCUUUGUCUUUGUGUGAAGUCAUGCUACAGUUUAUUCUGAAAUAAUCAGCACAGAGUUUGAAAUGGUUCAACUCAGACUGCGUCGCUCUAACCAUAGCUGCGAGACUCACUUUGGAGAUAUAAUAACGUCUGUUUGUGUCAGCUGAAUGUAUGAAUGAUGAAGAGUGUUUUGAGAAGAUGGAUGAAGAAAAUGAGAGAGAGAAGAGGAUGGAUGGAGGACAGUUAGUGAAUCAGGAAGUUCAGAAACGAGGGCAGCGGCUGGUCCAGAUGACACACACCUGUGCAGGUAUGGUGGUGGACCUUUUAAUCAGACAGAAUCUUGGAGAGAUGAAGAAGUGUACUGGUACUGAUGUGCAGGUGGAGUGACAGCUGGGUUGAAGGUGGAGGUGGGAUUAUAUCAGGGAUCAGCUCCUUAUUUGUGAUGAUGGACAGACUGACAGGUGAGGUCAGGAGUGUCUGUGGACUCCGAUCGCAGACGACACUCUGAUGAGGGUCGAGAACAGCUGAGCAAAGUCAGAGAAGCAAAACAGACUACGUGUGUGAAUGAGAGGAAGACGGGUGGAGAGGUAGUGAAGGUGGAUGAGUUUAAAUACCUGGGAUCAGUCAAACCACCUGUGAUGUAGGAGCCAAGUUUAUAUAUUUUCAGUAUUUAUGCUCACUGUUAAACUUAUUUUGUGUAAUUAGUAAUUUAAUAAGUAAAUUCAUGGUCAUAAUGGAAUUAAAAUUAUUUUAUUACAUUCGUGUUGGCUUGGUUAAAUAAAACUGUUUAUAGUUUAAAACUGCAUCGUGGAUUCAUGCAAAGGAGCGCACGCAGCGCUGCUGCAGAGGAGGGCAGAGCCACACGGUUUUCCUGCUGUAGUUUGUUUGUUGUUGAGGAAAACUUAGACCUGAUCACUCCUGUAAGAAGAUUUACUGUGGAAUACGUUUUUGUUUGCAUCUUUUCACAUCGGAGUCCCGUGGAAGUUUUUUCCUCUUCGAAUGAACGUGCACGAGUGAAGCACGGGAAAACUGGUCUCAUGGCCGUAUAUGUGAUGACAGGAGCGCUCAGGUUCACAUAAAUGAUCUUAACCAGAAAUCAUCUCCCAAUCCAACUUUCCUAAGACAUUAAAAAAACCUCCAUUCAAUCAUGACUUUACCCAUCAGAUGACGCCUGCAUGCUGUCACCCUCUGAUAAAACUGAUUUGAUCAGGAUGAACAAUACUUGGUCAGAUUUCCUCUUCUCACUGACGAACCUUCCAGGAGCCAGAGGAUCGCUGUCUUCUUUUAGGACGAGGCAUCCCAGAGGGCUCACCGCCCCACAGAUAUGCAUCAAAGUGUGUGCCAACACAUCAGUGUUAGUUUUAUAAUAUUCAAUCCAGCACACGUCUGGAGACAACAUGUACUGUGGACGGAGGAAACUGAUGUUAACGUGUACCAGAAUGAUGGGAACAGCUGGUGAUGGUAGCGCGGUUCAAGAUUUCAGGCAGUCAAAUUUGUACACGUGUGAAAAACAGUCAUUAUUUUUGAAAUGUUCGAGUGUCCAGUUAUUAUCUGUGCAUAAAAAUGUCUGGAGGUGUUAAUGCAAAAUGUUGGCAAAACCCUCAAAUUAAACUUUGCACCUCAAUCACGUCUUGAUAGACCGACUGACUUUAAAUCCACUGCAGUGCUUUGCAGAGGCAAAACUACAAAACUGUGUCUUUAUCCGAAAACACCUGGACCUGCAUCUCACUGUGGUGC